AUAAACUUGGGGGAGUCUCCGCUGCUCCAAUUUUGACCCCCACAAUGAAUUGUGUUGGCCCCCCUCAUUGAAGGUGCAUUCAGCCUAAAAUAUAAACAACUGCAUGGAGUGUUUAGAAAACUGCAUACUCUCCACCAGCGAAUUAAAUUAUGAAUCAUGCAUAACUUAUGAAUAUGCAUAAAAUAUGCAUGGUAAUUACCCAUUCAGUUCGCUUGGCAAAGCAAAACAAGCUUUUGCUAAUUUCACAUUCAAUUUUCAUUCAAAGUUCACCAAAAUUUAACUUUUCGUGAUUGUACGUUUGAUAUUUUUAAAAUUAUCGUGCCGACAAACGCACACAAAUGUGGAUGAAAACAUGGCCUUCCUGGUGGCAGGACCGUAGGCGUAGUUAGACCGAUAAUUGGGGGGGGGGUGCAUAUUCAUAUAUUCGUGUUCUACCCGACGGGUUUCUUUUGUUUUUACGGCCCUGCCUGGUGGAAGUUGAAAGGAGAUUACCGUAAUCGUGGCACACCGUACGUUCUCGAGGGUGGAAAAGGAAUAUUUGUCCUUAAAUAUUUAAUAGUCCUACCCCUAAAAUUCAUAUCCUACUUCAAAAAUUCCCAAUAAACUUGUCGACAGAUGGGGGGGGGGAGGGGAUGGCGGGAAUAUUUAUUCCAAUUUUUGUUUCAAAAAUUUAUAUUCCCACUCUUAAUAUUCAUAUUCCAACCAUCAAUACUCGUAUUCACACUGAUUAUUAUUAUUAUUGAAAUCUGUGUGGGGAACCAGGAAACGCAGAACACAAAGUCCUUUCGUGGGCAUUUGGAGACUGGCUAAAACGAAACUAUCAUUUUUCUCUAUGGUUCAGGGAGAGGUGGGAGCAAAAUUGACUUAUAAAAAACAGGUAUACUUUAUUGGUAGCCCCGCAAAUAUCCAGGUAUCCUCAAAAUAAAUGGU